rnacentral:lncRNA from 11 species
CAAACCUCUAUUGCUAAGUAUGAAGGCAGAAAAGUCUCAACAGGCAGUAUGGAAAGAUCUGGAAGGUAAGAUAAAAGGUGACAUAUCUCUUGACAGAAGUAGCUCUCACUCUCGCAUCUUCUCCUCUCUCUCUUUGUUUUGCUUGGCUUAGUCAGGCAACUCUGGAAUAAUUGGUGUGGACCAUGAGAUUGAAGAUUUCACCUCCAGUUCAGACAACCAAAUUCCUUGAAAGAGAGCAAGAGAACUCAUCUUCCACGGAUGGAGUACUGCAAUCAGAAGUUCUCCCCCAAAACCUACCUUUGAAGCCAGACACCCAACCCCAAUGAAAGGAUUUCUGAAAUCUGAGAGGGAGAAGGAAGGAAGGAGAAACCGAAGGAAGAGAAAAGGAGGCUGAAGCAGCUUUGUUUUUACCUCAAGCGCACAUGCGCAUGCUUGAGAGGCGAGGAGGGGACAGAGAUGCUACUUGCCAGUGAGGUUGUAAACACCACAAAUAUCAUGUCCCUACUUCGCGGGUGGUCCUGGAACGUAACCCCCAUGAUAAGUGAGGGAACACU